CCUACGGGCGGCAGCAGUGGGGAAUAUUGGGCAAUGGGCGCAAGCCUGACCCAGCAACGCCGCGUGAAGGAAGAAGGCUUUCGGGUUGUAAACUUCUUUUCUCAGGGACGAAGAAAGUGACGGUACCUGAGGAAUAAGCCACGGCUAACUACGUGCAAGCAGCCGCGGUAAUACGUAGGUGGCAAGCGUUAUCCGGAUUUAUUGGGUGUAAGGGGCGUGUAGGCGGGAGGGCAAGUCGGAUGUGAAAACUCAGGGCUCAAGCCUGGGCCUGCCUUUGAAACUGUGUUUCUUGAGUGCUGGGGAGGCAAUCGGAAUGCCGUGUGUAGCGGUGAAAUGCGUAGAUAUACGGAGGAACACCAGUGGCGAAGGCGGAUUGCUGGACAGUAACUGACGCUGAGGCGCGAAAGCGUGGGGAGCAAACAGGAUUAGAUACCCGAGUAGUC
rnacentral:rRNA from 1 species